UACGGAGGGUGCAAGCGCUGUUCGGAAUUAUUGGGCGUAAAGCGCACGUAGGCGGCCUGUUAAGUCUCACUGUGAAAUGCCGGGGCUCAACCCCGUGCCCGCAGGGGAUACUGGCAGGCUGGAGACAGGUAGAGGCGAGCGGAAUUCCGGGUGUAGCGGUGGAAUGCGUAGAGAUCCGGAAGAACACCAGAGGCGAAGGCGGCUCGCUGGACCUGUUCUGACGCUGAGGUGCGAAAGCGUGGGGAGCGAACAGG
rnacentral:misc_RNA from 1 species